UAAUACGUAGGGGGCGAGCGUUAUCCGGAUUUAUUGGGUGUAAAGGGUGCGUAGGCGGUUUAUUAAGUCUAAAAUUAAAGCCUGGGGCUUAACCUCAGUUCGUUUUAGAAACUGGUAGGCUUGAGUAUGGUAGAGGUAAGUGGAAUUUCUAGUGUAGCGGUUAAAUGCGUAGAUAUUAGAAGGAACACCAGUGGCGAAGGCGGCUUACUGGGCCAUUACUGACGCUGAUGCACGAAAGCGUGGGGAGCAAAUAGGAUUAGAUACCCUAGUAGUCCACGCCGUAAACGAUGAUUACUAAGUGUCGGGAAACCGGUGCUGAAGCUAACGCAUUAAGUAAUCCACCUGAGUAGUACGGUCGCAAGACUGAAACUUAAAUGAAUUGACGG
rnacentral:rRNA from 1 species